AAAUUAAUGGCAUGUUUGAUUGGGAGGAAUAGAAAUAGGUUGCAGUCCAAUUCAAUGGACCAAUCACCAAACUAAUGUUUGGUUGGCUGUAAUGUCUAUUACGACCUAUAUUGACUCCGUUCCUAUUUAAAGAAGAGGCUGCAUAACCAUUCCCUUCCAUCACUAUUAAAUAUGUAUUGAAUAGGAUUUUUUUUUUUUUUUUGCUUCUCAAUUUUUGCCUCAUCUUUACCCUCCACCUUCGACAAUAGCCUUUCUCACCCAUCCAUCAUCCUUUCUUUCUCUUUUUCUUUUUCUUUUCCUUCUUCCUUCUUUUUCUUCUUUCAAGGAUUCACUGCUUUCAGUUGGGAUCCAAGUUUGCUGUUGUUGAUAUCUGAUCAAUACCAUCCUGCUCGGCAACGGUGGAGUUCGCUGCUUCUACUUAUCUGUGCUUCUUCUCUUGGGUCUCACUCGCAGAUCCACCACCACAAUCAAAAUCGAUUUCCUAGCUUCUGUUUCUCUUCUCGAUGGAUCCCACUUCUCGCCCCGCUGUCGUCAUCGACAAUGACACUAGAUAUAAUAAGAUGGGAUUUGAGGGUAAUGUAGAGCCGAGUUUUAUUCAACCAACAGUAGUAGCAGUUAACGAAUCUCUUUUAAAUAAAUCUAAAGCUUCUUCUAAAUCUAAUUGGUUAGUUCAGUAUUCAGCUGGGGUAAUGACAGAUCUUGAUUUCUUCAUUGGAGAUGAAGCACUCACGCGAUCACGAUCAAGCAAUAACUAUAACAUUAUCCAUCCCAUUAAACAUGGCAAAGUGGAUAAUUGGGAUGCUAUGGAAUGAUAUUGGCAACAAUGUAUUUAUAAUUAUUUACGGUGUGAUCUUAAGGAUUAUUACAUUUCUCUGACUGAAAGUCCACUUACUCUACUCUUGAGAAUUGAGAAUAUAUAGGUGAAAUCAUGUUUGAGACGUUUAAUGUUCCAGGGCUUUAUAUUGCUGUGAAUUAUGUCCUUGCUUUAGCUGUUGGGUACACUACAUCUAAGGUUUGUGACUGGUUAGUGUUCUAUUUUCUGGUAUUAUAUAUCUUCAUGUUAGUUGUUUACUAGUAUGUUGGAUGAAUCAAUUAGGGUCCUUAAUUGUACAUGAUUUUUAGUAUCUUUUAUAUUUAUAAACUACACCUUUUAAGGUUGAAUCUUGAGUGUGAUGUUUGUUCUAGGAUUGUUAGGUAUUCAUCAAACUACUAGCAAUUGAUUUAAAUCCAUUUAGUGAUUGAGAAAGAAUUGGCAUAUAGAUUCUAUCACUAUUCCUUAAGAAUGGUUAAACUUUUGCUUAAUCUAUUGCGUUAAAUUCUCCAUUAAAAAUAAAAUUGUAUGCUUAGAAAUAUAAUAAUUAUGCUUUAUAAGAAACUGUGCAAAUUUGAGAAAAAUUCAUGACCAUGAUAGCAUCUGAUACAUCUGCAAUUGUAGUAAACAUGUAGUGAUCGCAAUAGCUAUUAAUCUCUGGUGCCUACCCUAUACUGUUUCAAUACAUCUAAAUUUGUUUAUUUGUUUAUUUUUCUUUAAUUAUUAAAGAGAACUAUGAUGGAGGCAUAUAGCUGUUGUUAAUCUUGUGGGUGUAAGCUGCGGGUUAUGUUGAAUACUUCAUGCUUGUAGUGUUUAAAGAACUGCUCUAGCUUCUAUUUAGCUUUAGACUAUUUUGGGUGUUGUCUUUCUUGCUAACCAUCAUCAUCCUUAUAUAUUGAUCAUUUUCAUUUAGUUUGACCUAUAGCUUUCUGUAGUACAGGGGUGGUAGCGGAUGUUGGAGAUAGAGCUACGCAUAUAUUACCUGUUGCAAAUAGUUAUGUUAUUGGUAGCAGCAUUAAGUCAAUACAAUAGCAAAAAAGAUGUUACUCUCCUUAUAUAGUAACUGAUGCGAGUAUUUUUUUUCCCAUGACUUGUGAUCUGACACCAUUGAUUGCUAUUUAUUCAAUUUCAAGUACUUAAGGUUAUUACCAUGUCUUGAUGAGAAAAAAAAUACACUUCUUGGCAUUAUUCAGCCUUGUUCAUAGUUGGAUUUAUUGGUGUUCUCGAGUUUUGCACCUAGGCACACCUAUGCCUUGCGCCUUAGCGCUAGGAAACAAAAGCACCUCAACCCUUUCAGACGAGGUGUAUUUGAUCAGGCACACUUUUGGUGCUCUUAACUGCGUUAUUUUUUGUAAGACGAUAGGCAUAAAAAUGCUUGUCUAAUUGAAUCUGGAGUUUUCUACCUUUGUUUA